CUUACAUCUCCACCCAGGAAUCCCUGAUUCUUGCAGCAGUAGUUUAAACACAGGUAGAAACAGCAGGAGGAUCUCAUUUUCUUUGGGGGCUGUAGCCGUGCCCCUUGAAGUGAAUUUGUGGCCGUGCCUGC